CUUUCCUGGUCUUCUCCUUGUGGAGCUUGGAUGACCUGGAUUCCUUGCUGCUGCUUUUGGCUACCUGCGCCUUCCCAUAGUCAUCAGUCUCCUCAUUCGAACGCUUUGAACUUCCCGAUAUCCGGUCCUUCAUCGAUCCCGACUUGCUGGAGACUUCUUGGCUUUUUUCUUUUUCGGUCUGUUUAGCUUUUAGUAAGUCCCGGGAACGCCUGUGCUGGUGGUGACGAUGUUUGUGCAGGCGGUCGCUCCGAUCUGAUCCACGACGUUCGU
rnacentral:lncRNA from 1 species